UACAGAGGGGGCAAGCGUUGUUCAGAAUUACUGGGCGUAAAGGGCGCGUAGGCGGCCUUCUAAGUCGAACGUGAAAUCCCCGGGCUCAACCCGGGAACUGCGUCCGAUACUGGAAGGCUUGAAUCCGGGAGAGGGAUGCGGAAUUCCAGGUGUAGCGGUGAAAUGCGUAGAUAUCUGGAGGAACACCGGUGGCGAAGGCGGCAUCCUGGACCGGUAUUGACGCUGAGGCGCGAAAGCCAGGGGAGCAAACGGG
rnacentral:rRNA from 1 species